CAGCAGAGGCAGGAGGUUGGUCUUGAAGGCCUGUUCCCACCCACUCAAGAGCCUCCGGAAAGCAGGGCUGGCGCUAUGUAGCAGCAGGAGGCGCCUGGAGGGCAUCGCACCCGGGGCGAGCUGGCUUGCCAGCGAGAGGCCUCCUGCGCGGAGCCAUCGCCCUCUGGUGGCAGAGUGAGAAGGGUACAGCUGCUCGCUGAGCCCCACCUUUCCUCUCAUCCACCCUCUCAGCCCAGAACUGGAACUUGCUAGAAGAAGGGAAAGCCAGACGCGUGUGGGCUAGGACUGGAACCUGGAACUCCGGACCAAGUUUCUUCAGCAGAAAAUGGAGGCUUGUAACAGAUGCACUGUGAGGCUGAGGCUGCACAGAAAACAGCUGAAGCACAGCCCUUCGAGAGUCCCGUGGAGAACUCGAGGAACAGGGGUGUCAAACCAAACACCAGAAGAAAAACUCUGUGAGACAUUCUGUGCCCAGUCUCCCUGAAUUCUGCAAACCCACUUUCUCCGCUAGAGUGAAGGUAACCGAGUCCUGGCCGUGAAAGCUGACUGGUAAUGCCUAGAGUUCGUCGCAAGGUGGCAACAUUGUGGCGAGAAAUAGAUAUUAAAAAUCCUGG
rnacentral:lncRNA from 1 species